rnacentral:rRNA from 1 species
UGGGGAAUAUUGGACAAUGGGCGAAAGCCUGAUCCAGCAAUGCCGCGUGAGUGAUGAAGGCCUUAGGGUUGUAAAGCUCUUUUACCCGGGAUGAUAAUGACAGUACCGGGAGAAUAAGCCCCGGCAAACUUCGUGCCAGCAGCCGCGGUAAUACGAAGGGGGCUAGCGUUGUUCGGAAUUACUGGGCGUAAAGCGCGCGCAGGCGGCUAUCCAAGUCAGUGGUGAAAGCCCGGAGCUCAACUCCGGAACUGCCAUUGAAACUGUUUAGCUUGAGGACGAGAGAGGUGAGUGGAAUUCCCAGUGUAGAGGUGAAAUUCGUAGAUAUUGGGAAGAACACCGGUGGCGAAGGCGACUCACUGGCUUCGUAUCUGACGCUCAGGCGCGACAGCGUGGGGAUCAAACA